CUAUCUAGAACUCGGGUCAAAUUUUCGUCGGAUCCGGGGUUUUACUCGAAGGUUUAUUCAAAACCCUUUUGAUGUUUGAUUUACCCCAAAUCAAUUCCCUCGCCCUUCAAAUUCAAACAGCUAGUGUGUGUAAAUUGGUUUCUGGAGUGUUUCGAUUCUCGUUCUUGAACUUAUCGAAUCACUGAAGCCCUAUGCGAACACAACUGUUGUUGGAAUGAAGUGAUAUGAAGUUGCUAAUAUGAGCGAUGGAGGAGGUGGAGAGAGUGUAAAAGAAAUUGAAUCUUGUUUGAAGAAAAGGAGGAAGCAUGAUGAAUUUGCACAGGCGAUUGCUAGAAUUGCAGUGGCCCAAGUAUGUGAGGGUGUAGGAUUUCAAGGUUUUCAACAGUCUGCACUUGAUAGAUUAUCUGAUGUUGCUUGCAAAUAUAUCCUGGAGAUAGGGAAAACAUCGAAGUUCUAUGCUAAUUUAGCUGGCAGGACAGAAUGUAAUGUGUUUGAUAUAGUUCAAGGGUUGGAAGAUUUGAGUCUGCCGCAGGGGUUUGUAGGAGCAUCUGACAGAGAUCAUUGUUUAUCAGGGUCAGGGUUAAUCAAAGAGAUUUCGCAGUAUGUUAGUUUGUCUGAAGAAAUAGGGUUCGCUUACUCGGUUCCUUCUUUUCCAGUAAUUAAAGAGCGAAACUCAACACCAAGUUUCUUGCAAGCUGGAGAAACACCACCAACGGAUGCUAUCCCCCCUUGGCUACCGAGGUUUCCUGAUCCCAAGACGUAUACGUAUAGUAGCAUGCCUUCAGCCGAUAUGGAAGAAACCCAAAUGAGACCCGAUAGAAUUGAGCAAGAACACAAGGUCCUUGAGCCACCAUCAUCAAGAUUGGAGCAGCUUUGGGCAUGUAGCGAGUCUGAAUUGCCGUUGGUUAUUGACCAGGGAGAUAAUGUCGGAAGGGAGCGAGGGAGUAAUCCUUUUCUUAAUACGCCUCUACAGCCUGGAGAGAAGGAGAUUUCUCUGGUUUCUCUUCCUGCUAAACUCAAGGAAGAAGACAUGGUGCAAAAUCAUGGGUUAUGGGCAAAUCAUGUUUCUGCAUUGAAUACAUUUGGUCCAGCAAAUCAAGCAGUUAAGAGCUGUGGGUGUGAUGCUGAGGAAGGCAGUCGAAAGGUUCUUUUGAAUAACAGACCUGCAUUGCAAAUGAAGUUUCACAUUGGCAAAAAGUCGUUGGAUAUUGCAAAUAGACACAACUACAAAGGAAAAGAAGAAGUUGCGUCUUGGUUUGUGAAUGAUGAUGUUGGGGAUGCUAAAGAAAAGAGAACAGAGAAACUUCCAAGGGAGCCGAUGGAUAUUGAAGAGCAUACUGGAAAUGAUUCAGUUGUAAAUUAGGAACACUAGAUUAGGGUUUGUAUACUAGUUUGGAAUCCUAGCAGCAUGUGCUAGCUCCGGAGUAGUCAAAGUCGGGGGAAUAUAUCUAGUAGAGGGGGAUGUUCCCACAUUAACAGGUUCUCUGAGGACGUUAUCCGGGCUAAUUACGCAAGGAAAUAGAACCCAGAUACAUGUUAAGGUCGAUCUUCUGUAUGACUAUUUUCACACAUGGAAUGCAGCUGUGUGGUAUGUACUUUAGGAUAACAUGUACAUACAUCAAUCAAAUACUAAGAUGGAAACAAAUAGAAGCUCUUCGCUCUUCUUUUUAUGGGUUCUUUAUUUCGAUUCUUGCAUCUUUUAUGCAUGACCAUAGUUAGUAACAUCAUAUGAGUCGAUUCCCAUUUGGCAAAAUGUCAUUAUAGACUAUAGAGAGCGUCUCAAAUUAAGGUUUUGUAGAAUUAGCGGAUUCAUUUUUUGAUAUUAUAUUGCUUAUAAGUUCAUAGCUAAGUUCUCUUUUCUGAAGCUCAUUGAAGGGUUGCGC